GUUUGAAUCCUGGCUCAGAUUGAACGCUGGCGGCAGGCCUAACACAUGCAAGUCGAACGGUAGCACAGAGGAGCUUGCUCCUUGGGUGACGAGUGGCGGACGGGUGAGUAAUGUCUGGGGAUCUGCCCGAUGGAGGGGGAUAACUACUGGAAACGGUAGCUAAUACCGCAUAACGUCGCAAGACCAAAGUGGGGGACCUUCGGGCCUCACACCAUCGGAUGAACCCAGAUGGGAUUAGCUAGUAGGUGGGGUAACGGCUCACCUAGGCGACGAUCCCUAGCUGGUCUGAGAGGAUGACCAGCCACACUGGAACUGAGACACGGUCCAGACUCCUACGGGAGGCAGCAGUGGGGAAUAUUGCACAAUGGGCGCAAGCCUGAUGCAGCCAUGCCGCGUGUAUGAAGAAGGCCUUCGGGUUGUAAAGUACUUUCAGCGGGGAGGAAGGCGAUGAGGUUAAUAGCCUCAUCGAUUGACGUUACCCGCAGAAGAAGCACCGGCUAACUCCGUGCCAGCAGCCGCGGUAAUACGGAGGGUGCAAGCGUUAAUCGGAAUUACUGGGCGUAAAGCGCACGCAGGCGGUCUGUCAAGUCGGAUGUGAAAUCCCCGGGCUUAACCUGGGAACUGCAUUCGAAACUGGCAGGCUAGAGUCUCGUAGAGGGGGGUAGAAUUCCAGGUGUAGCGGUGAAAUGCGUAGAGAUCUGGAGGAAUACCGGUGGCGAAGGCGGCC
rnacentral:rRNA from 1 species